UUGGAGGGCAAGUCUGGUGCCAGCAGCCGCGGUAAUUCCAGCUCCAAUAGCGUAUAUUAAAGUUGUUGCAGUUAAAAAGCUCGUAGUUGAAUUUCGGGAUCAAUAUAUCGGUCGUGCCUUUGGUACGUACUGGUAUCAUUGAUUUCUCCUUUCUGACGAAUCAUGAUGUCAUUAAUUUGGUGUUAUGAGGAGUUAGGACUGUUACUUUGAAAAAAUUAGAGUGUUUAAAGCAGGCAUUAGCUUGAAUACAUUAGCAUGGAAUAAUGAAAUAGGACGUUUGACCCUAUUUUGUUGGUUUUUAGGAUCGACGUAAUGAUUAAUAGGGAUAGUUGGGGGCAUUAGUAUUCAAUUGUCAGAGGUGAAAUUCUUGGAUUUAUUGAAGACUAACUACUGCGAAAGCACUUGCCAAGGAUGUUUUCAUUAAUCAAGAACGAAAGUUAGGGGAUCGAAGACGAUCAGAUACCGUCGUAGUCUUAACCAUAAACUAUGCCGACUAGGGAUCGGGUGAUGUUAAUUUUUUAAUGACUCAUUCGGCGCCUUACGGGAAAC
rnacentral:rRNA from 1 species